GCUGGAAGAUGCUGCUUAGAGAUGGGGAGGGAGGCCACCGCCUGAACUGAUGUCUCUCAGGCAGCUGCAGAGCUUCAGCAGUACUGCAUACAGAAUGCAUGCAAGGACGCCCUGCUGCUUGGUGUUCCGGCUGGAAGCAACCCCUUCCGGGAGCCCAGGUCCUGUGCUUUACUUUGAAGACUGGGAAGAAGCUCUCUGAGGAACCUGUGUGUGCAUGGUGAUGGAUGACUACCGCCAAGUCCCAAGAAAACAGAUUUCAAGAGCCAAAUCAUUUUCUCUGUGGCCUGGUCCUAGGUCAAAAUUCUACAGAAAUCAAUGUUUUGUCUUAUUUUUUAACCUCAUUACCAAACUCACUGGGUGCAUCUCUCAGUCAAGCCUGUGCGGCCCUGCCUGGGAUGGAGGCAUGUUUUGUUUACUGGGUAUUUGCAUUUCUGGAUGGAAAUGUUGUAUUUCCGAAAACUGAGUAUUUGUAAUUUUCCUAACAUUUUUAUACUGUAAUAAAAAAUUUUCAUAAAAAUUUACAGUUACUAAAUUAGACAAAGUAUAAAUUGGGGAAUGAUUGAUAUGCUGGUUUCGUAAAGGAGGCCUUUCCAGUCCCAGUGAGCAAACGGUCUGACCUGGACGGGAAGCUGGGGAGCCGCUCCUUAGCACACGGAGCAUGGAUGUGUUGUUAGGUGGCCCUCCCGUGUGAAGCCAUUAGAACUUUCUUUAGUUCCUGUACUCUACAACUUAUAAUUGUGUCUGAUGCUUUGAAAAGUGUGCUCAUGCCUUUAAAAAUGUUUAAAUGUGAUCUACACUUAGAACGUUGCAAUUGGUUAAAAACAAAAUAUGAAGAUAUUAUAACCUAAAAGAAUUCAUGUCACACAUAUUUUAUUGGGGGUGAUGUGCCUUUGAUUUAAUUGGGGACACUUUUAGAAGGAAAGUUUGUGUUUGUGAUUAUCUUUGAAGAGCUUGGAAAUAAAAUUUUUGCCUAAUUCAUCAUUUU
rnacentral:lncRNA from 1 species